rnacentral:rRNA from 1 species
UACAGAGGGUGCGAGCGUUGUUCGGAAUUAUUGGGCGUAAAGGGUGCGUAGGCGGCGCCACAAGUCACUUGUGAAAACUCUGGGCUCAACUCAGAGCCUGCAAGCGAAACUGUGGUGCUGGAGUAUGGGAGAGGUGCGUGGAAUUCCCGGUGUAGCGGUGAAAUGCGUAGAUAUCAGGAAGAACACCCGUGGCGAAAGCGGCUCUCUGGGACGGUACUGACGCUGAGACGCGAAAGCGUGGGGAGCAAACAGG